rnacentral:SRP_RNA from 1 species
GAAAUACGGGUAAGUCCCAUACGGCCAGCUCCCUUCGAAUCCUCCAGGGCUUGAUCGCAGCAAAGGUAGUU